UACGGAGGGUGCAAGCGUUAUCCGGAUUCACUGGGUUUAAAGGGUGCGUAGGUGGGUCUGUAAGUCAGUGGUGAAAUCUCCAAGCUUAACUUGGAACUGCCGUUGAUACUAUAGAUCUUGAAUGCUGUGGAGGUGAGCGGAAUAUGUCAUGUAGCGGUGAAAUGACUUAGAUAUGACAUAGAACACCAAUUGCGAAGGCAGCUCACUACCACAUAUUGACACUGAGGCACGAAAGCGUGGGGAUCAAACAGGG
rnacentral:rRNA from 1 species